rnacentral:tRNA from 1 species
UAAGGCUUUAUCUUAAUUAAAGUGUCUGUUUUGCAUGCAGGAGAUGUGGGGUAAUAUCCCGCAAGUCUUAUC